rnacentral:rRNA from 1 species
GACGAACGCUGGCGGCGUGCUUAACACAUGCAAGUCGAACGGGCCUUGUCCCCUUUUUUUUGGGGGUGGGGUUAGUGGCGAACGGGUGAGUAACACGUGAGUAACCUGCCCCUCACUUCUGGAUAACCGCUUGAAAGGGUGGCUAAUACGGGGUGUUCUGGCCUGCUCGCAUGGGUGGGUUUGGAAAGAUUCGACCGGUUUUGGUUGUUUUGGUGGGGGAUGGGCUCGCGGCCUAUCAGCUUGUUGGUGGGGUGAUGGCCUGCCAAGGCUUUGACGGGUAGCCGGCCUGAGAGGGUGGGCGGUCACACUGGGACUGAGACACGGCCCAGACUCCUACGGGAGGCAGCAGUGGGGAAUAUUGCACAAUGGGCGCAAGCCUGAUGCAGCGACGCCGCGUGAGGGAUGGAGGCCUUCGGGUUGUGAACCUCUUUCGCCAGUGAAGAAGGUCCUGCUCUUUGUGGUGGGGUUGAC